UACGUAGGGGGCAAGCGUUGUCCGGAUUUAUUGGGCGUAAAGAGCGUGUAGGCGGCCAGGUAGGUCGGUUGUGAAAACUCGAGGCUCAACCUCGAGAUGUCGACCGAAACCAUCUGGCUAGAGUCCGGAAGAGGAGAAUGGAAUUCCCGGUGUAGCGGUGAAAUGCGCAGAUAUCGGGAAGAACACCCGUGGCGAAGGCGGUUCUCUGGGGACGGUACUGACGCUGAGACGCGAAAGCGUGGGGAGCGAA
rnacentral:rRNA from 1 species